rnacentral:rRNA from 1 species
AACGAACGCUGGCGGCAGGCCUAACACAUGCAAGUCGAGCGCCCCGCAAGGGGAGCGGCGGACGGGUGAGUAACGCGUGGGAACGUACCUUUUGCUUCGGAAUAGCCUCGGGAAACUGGGAGUAAUACCGAAUGUGCCCUACGGGGGAAAGAUUUAUCGGCAAAAGAUCGGCCCGCGUUGGAUUAGGUAGUUGGUGGGGUAAUGGCCUACCAAGCCGACGAUCCAUAGCUGGUUUGAGAGGAUGAUCAGCCACAUUGGGACUGAGACACGGCCCAGACUCCUACGGGAGGCAGCAGUGGGGAAUCUUAGACAAUGGGCGCAAGCCUGAUCUAGCCAUGCCGCGUGAGCGAUGAAGGCCUUAGGGUUGUAAAGCUCUUUCGUGGGGGAAGAUAAUGACUGUACCCCAAGAAGAAGCCCCGGCUAACUCCGUGCCAGCCGCCGCUGUAA